GACGAACGCUGGCGGCGUGCUUAACACAUGCAAGUCGAACGGAAAGGCCCUGCUUUUGUGGUGUUCUCGAUUGGCGAACGGGUGAGUAACACGUGAGUAACCUGCCCUUGACUUUGGUAUAACUUCAGGAAACUGGGGCUAAUACCGUAUAGGAUCUCCUGCUGCAUUGUGGGGGGUGGAAAUUUUCGGCGGGUGGGGAUGGACUCGCGGCUUAUCAGCUUGUUGGUGGGGUAGUGGCUUACCAAGGCUUUGACGGGUAGCCGGCCUGAGAGGGUGACCGGACACAUUGGGACUGAGAUACGGACCAGAAUCCUAUGGGAGGCAGCAGUGGGGAAUAUUGUACAAUGGGAGGAAGCGUGAUGCAGAAACGCCGCGUGCGGGAUGACGGUCUUCGGGUUGUAAACAGCUUUCGCCUGUGACGAAGCGUGAGUGACGGUAAUGGGUAAAGAAGCACCGGCUAACUACGUG
rnacentral:rRNA from 1 species